AGGAGUGUAAGGCUAUGCUCUCUUCUGCCAGGGAUGCCAAACCUAGAGCCUCAGGGUCCUUUAAAUAGUGUCAGACGUGUCCCAAAGUGCGGCUCGGUCCAAAAGAAUCAAAUCAGAGCAGAAUCAGGGCUCGAGCGUGAAUUGAGGUUCAUGUGAGGCUUAGGCGCCAGUUUUGGACGCCUAAGCUUCGGGCGUCCGUCGCCCGGGCGAUCGACGUUGAUCUGGGAUGCACUGUUUUUUGUUCCUGUUGCUUGGGCUUCGGGUUUUCCC
rnacentral:lncRNA from 1 species